CAUCAGGCCAGUUCUCUGGGAUACUGCUGUGUCUCCAGCUCUGCAGUUUGCUCUUCGUCACUCAGCGGCAGACGGAGAGGCAGACACGAGCCCCUUGUGAGCCCUCCUCCUUACCGUCAUCUCACAAUGCUCUGAAAUAAGGAGGCAAAUGGCUGAGGUCCCCUCAGUUAUGUGAUUGAGUUCUAUCUACCAGAAGCAUAUGCCUCCUGGAAGCCUGGUUCUAACACCUCCCACAAAAUCCUUCAAGCACUUUUUUCUGUUCCAAGGUUUGCUUAUGGGGGACCCAGUGAAGUGCUUCAGAGCCCUAGAGAUUUGCUGAGUCAUAUGAGGGGUCAGCAAACUUUUCCUGUAAAGGGUCAGAUAAUAAACAUUUUAAGCUUUGUAGACUGUA
rnacentral:lncRNA from 10 species